rnacentral:rRNA from 1 species
CGAAGGAUGCAAGCGUUAUCCGGAUUCAUUGGGUUUAAAGGGUGCGUAGGCGGACUUGUAAGUCAGUGGUGAAAUCUCUCAGCUUAACUGAGAAACUGCCAUUGAUACUGCAGGUCUAGAGUAUAGAUGACGUUGGCGGAAUAUGACAUGUAGUGGUGAAAUACUUAGAUAUGUCAUAGAACACCGAUUGCGAAGGCAGCUAACGAAACUAUAACUGACGCUGAGGCACGAAAGUGCGGGGAUCAAACAGGAUUAGAUACCCUGGUAGUCCGCACGUAAACGAUGAUUACUCGUUGUUGGCGAUAUGACAGUCAGCGACCAAGCGAAAAGCGAUAAGUAAUCCACCUGGGGAGUACGCCGGCAACGGUG